rnacentral:lncRNA from 1 species
ACAGGUACGUGGGCGGGCGGAUCGUGGUGGCUGCGCUUGCGAGGACCCUGAGGUAGAUUGGGUGGUUUCAACAGGAACGCAUCCACUGUCUGAGAGUUUAAACUUGAUUUUGUGAGGGGACGAACAGCGUGACAAUUAAAAGAAGAUCUGGGAAUCAAAAGCUUCCUGAGGCCUUCACCAGAAGCAGAUGCUGGUGCCGUGCUUCUACAGCCUGCAGAACUCAGAGCAACUGGGAACCUAAUUCUGACCAAAAAGGAGGAAUUGUUUGGCUAAUUGGAAGUGACAGAAACCUUGGGAGAAAGCAACCGCAUACCAAGGAUAAUUAUAAGAAGGUAACAUGGGCCCUAAAGGAUAGUGUCAAGAAACCUGAAACCCCCAAAUGAGGUGAGACUUGCAAAAAAUGCUAAGGAAGGACAAAAAACAGGCCUUUUAAAAUUCUGUUCAGAACCAGAAGAUGAUCAAGAAAGGGAAAUGCCCACUAGCAGCUUCUACUGUAAGGUUAGAGCUGACAGAGAAAGAACUCCUUAACUACUAUUUGCUUCAUUCUC